UAGGGAAUCUUCCGCAAUGGACGAAAGUCUGACGGAGCAACGCCGCGUGAGCGAAGAAGGCCUUCGGGUCGUAAAGCUCUGUUGUUAGGGAAGAACAAGUAUCGGAGUAACUGCCGGUACCUUGACGGUACCUAACCAGAAAGCCACGGCUAACUACGUGCCAGCAGCCGCGGUAAUACGUAGGUGGCAAGCGUUGUCCGGAAUUAUUGGGCGUAAAGCGCGCGCAGGCGGUCCUUUAAGUCUGAUGUGAAAGCCCACGGCUCAACCGUGGAGGGUCAUUGGAAACUGGGGGACUUGGGUGCAGAAGAGGAGAGUGGAAUUCCACGUGUAGCGGUGAAAUGCGUAGAGAUGUGGAGGAACACCAGUGGCGAAGGCGACUCUCUGGUCUGUAACUGACGCUGAGGCGCGAAAGCGUGGGGAGCAAACAGGAUUAGAUACCCUGGUAGUCCACGCCGUAAACGAUGAGUGCUAAGUGUUAGAGGGUUUCCGCCCUUUAG
rnacentral:rRNA from 1 species